rnacentral:rRNA from 1 species
UACGUAGGGUGCAAGCGUUGUCCGGAAUUAUUGGGCGUAAAGAGCUCGUAGGCGGUUUGUCGCGUCGGCUGUGAAAACCUGGGGCUCAACCCCGGGCCUGCAGCCGAUACGGGCAAGCUAGAGUUCGGUAGGGGAGACUGGAAUUCCUGGUGUAGCGGUGAAAUGCGCAGAUAUCAGGAGGAACACCGGUGGCGAAGGCGGGUCUCUGGGCCGAUACUGACGCUGAGGAACGAAAGCCAGGGGAGCAAACGGG